rnacentral:rRNA from 1 species
CGCGUAGGCGGUCUGAUAAGUCAGUUGUGAAAGCCCGGGGCUCAACCCCGGAAGUGCAAUUGAAACUGUCAGGCUUGGGUAUGGUAGAGGGAAGUGGAAUUCCUGGUGUAGCGGUGAAAUGCGUAGAUAUCAGGAGGAACACCGGUGGCGAAGGCGACUUCCUGGACCAAUACUGACGCUGAGGCGCGAAGGUGUGGGGAGCAAACAGGAUUAGAUACCCUGGUAGUCC